GCAACAUUUCUGCAAAGUGUGCAGCUGGUUGAAGAUGAUAAGAACAUGUUCUGUAAUAACAUGUAAACACUGUUCAGUUCAGAAGAGACGCUGCUGUGUGUGUUUGACUGCGAGAGCUUCAGUGCUGGACUGAAUAUGGACCCUCUUCUGCUCAGCGAAGAUAUGAUGCUAAAACAGAAUGAAGAGAAAUAAAUGCAGGACAGAUGAGCGUCACAAACCGCAGGAGGAUUAAACAUUAAAAAUGACAAAGAAAGAGGACGAGAGACAAUCUAAUGAACCUGGAGAGAAACAGACACUGAGACGAGUCCGACACAAGAGCAUUAACAGUGGAACACCAAACUUUUGUCAUGAUUCAGACAGACCAGCAGAGACGCUCACAGAUGAGAAAGCUGUGGUUCCUUUCGUCUGAACCGGCAGAAAACUCUUCAACAUGUUCAGUCACUGAAUAAAGUGGUGUAUACUCUU